rnacentral:rRNA from 1 species
CCCUAACCGNGCGAAGGUNGCAUAAUCACUUGUUUCUUAAAUAGAGACUAGUAUCAACGGCAUCACGAAGACUACACGUCUCCUCCAUACAAUCAAUGAAACUGAUCUCCUCGUGAAGAAGCGAGGAUAUAUAUAUAAGACGAGAAGACCCCAUGGAGCUUAAAACAAAUUUCAAUUGCUCCCACCUAAAUCAUAAAAGCUGAGCAUUUCUGAUAAACAGUUUUAGGUUGGGGCGACCGCGGAGUAAAACAAAACCUCCACAAUGAACGUAAUAAAAUCCUAAUAAAAGAACUACAAUUCUAAUAAUCAACAUAUUGACACAAAUUGACCCAAAUAUUUUGAUCAAUGAACCAAGUUACCCUGGGGAUAACAGCGCAAUCCAUUUUAAGAGCCCUUAUCGACAAAUGGGUUUACGACCUCGAUGUUGGAUCAGGGUAUCCCAGUGGUGCAGCCGCUACUAAUGUGUUCGUUUGUUCAACGAUUAAAACCCUACGUGAUCUGAKUNC